rnacentral:rRNA from 1 species
UGGGGAAUAUUGCACAAUGGGCGCAAGCCUGAUGCAGCAACGCCGCGUGAACGAUGAAGGUCUUCGGAUCGUAAAGUUCUGUUGCAGGGGAAGAUAAUGACGGUACCCUGUGAGGAAGCCCCGGCUAACUACGUGCCAGCAGCCGCGGUAAUACGUAGGGGGCUAGCGUUAUCCGGAUUUACUGGGCGUAAAGGGUGCGUAGGUGGUCUUUCAAGUCGGUGGUUAAAGGCUACGGCUCAACCGUAGUUAGCCUCCGAAACUGGAAGACUUGAGUGCAGGAGAGGAAAGUGGAAUUCCCAGUGUAGCGGUAAAAUGCGUAGAUAUUAGGAGGAACACCGGUGGCGAAGGCGGCUAUCUGGACAGUAACUGACGCUGAGGCGCGAAAGCGUGGGGAGCAAACAGG